UACGGGGGGGGGCAAGCGUUGUUCGGAAUUACUGGGCGUAACGGGUGCGUAGGCGGUUCGCUAAGUUGGAUGUAGAAACUCUGGGCUUAACCCGGAGCCUGCAUCCAAUACUGACGAGCUAGAGUUCUGGAGGGGGUAGCGGAAUUCCUGGUGUAGCGGUGAAAUGCGUAGAUAUCAGGAGGAACACCGGUGGCGAAGGCGGCUACCUGGACAGAGUCUGACGCUGAGGCACGAAAGCUAGGGGAGCAAACAGG
rnacentral:rRNA from 1 species